rnacentral:tRNA from 1 species
UUAACUGAAGCCAAAUAGAGGCAUUUCAUUGUUAAUGAAAUUAAUGAUUAAUAAAUCCAGUUAAA